ensembl:misc_RNA
UUGACAGCCCUUGAGGGUCAUUUUUUCCAUUUACCAAUAGAAUAAGUUCAGUAGUGGUUGCAAUAGUGUCAGCUACCUCAUGCUAGCCUAGCCAAUGUGCCCUAACCCUGACCACGAGGAAACACCUUUAAGAGUGAGAGAGUAGUUCAGUUUCCAGGCCCACUUGUUUUUCCAUCUCU